AUAUAUAUACAUAUAUCUAUGUAAAAUCUCUAUCCUUUAGUCGUCUUCUUUGUUCCUUUAUUAUCUCUUUGUAGCCAUGGUGAAGCAGUUUGGAUGGCCUGCUUCUCUGCAGGCAACCACUGCUCUUGUUCUUAUGGAGAUAAUUGGGACCAAAGAAGAGGGAUUUCAGUGGUACGAUAGAUUUAUUGUGCUCAUGUGCACCUCAUUUGCAAUCUUAUUUUCUCUGCUGGCGGUGGUGGUGGUGAGGCCUAGUUCUCUUGCGAUGGCAAUGUUGUUGGCCAUGUUUUGGCAAGACUAUGAUGAUUUGCCCAAUUGGACUUAAAAGAGUCUCAAGAUCAAGUGGCUUGGCAGCUACUGCUGCAGCCUUUGAUUGAGUGUUUAUCUCUGAUAGAAAGGGUUACAUCUGAGUCUCUUGUUUCUUGUUUCUUUCGAACACAAUCAAGCAAAAGAACAUAGACAAUAUUGGCAACAUCAAGAACAAGAACAACAACAAUAAGAAUCCAAAUGAGGUUAGAAGAUGGGUUUGCUUAUUUGCUAUGCACGAUGAUGAUUACUGCAGGGAAGGAUGUAUAAAUUUGGCUUUUGAUCUUUUUAAGUAGUUGAAGGAGAGGAUUGACUGUGAACCAGAUGUAUGCUUGUAUAAUACAAUGAUUAAUGGGCUCUUGAAGCUUAAUUUUGUUGAUGGGGGUUGGGAUUUGUUUCAUGAAAUGGUGGGAUGUGUCCUCAAGCCAAAUUUGGUUACUUUCAAUAUGAUGAUCAGCUGGUACUGGAAAAACUCUGAUGUGGGAUUCUGCUUUGGUGCUUCUUGACAUAAUGAAGAGUUAUGGUUUGAUCCCAAAUCUGCAUUGCUAUACUGCUGUGAAGACCACACUUUGCUAUACUUCUAUACUUCAUUAUGUCAUCAGGGAAAUCUCCAUUGUGUGAUAUCUCCAUCGUUGAUCGAUUCGUCUUCUUUGCUGUUGCUUUCUUCUCUCUCUAUGUAGCAAUGGUGUAGCGGCUCGGAUGGCCAGUUCCUCAGCAGGCAACCGAUGCUCCCGUUCUGCUAGAGGGAGGGGAUGGUGUGGGAGAAAAGGAGGGGUCUGGUGGUACCAUGGAUUAAUGGCGAAUCCAAGCCUCUUCCUGUUUCUUUGCUGCUACUACUACCAGCUUUAUUGCCAAUGAUGAUGAUGCUGAUGAUGAUACUUAUUAAUUGCAAUGCCGCGCUCUUGUGUUUGCUUGGCUGUGAUGAUUUGCCUUAGAAGAGUUUCGAGAUCGAGUGGCAUGGGAGCUACUGCUGCAGUCCUUGAUUUAGUUUUUAUUUCUGAUAAAAAAAGGUCAGAUCUGAGCCUCCUCCUCCACCUCUUUCUCCUCUCGCUCUAUCUAUAUUACUAUAUAUAUAUAUAUACUUUCUCCGCAUCAAAAGAAUUAAUUAAAAGGAACAAGUAAAAAGAUUGAAGGGAGUAUAUGAUAAAUGUGGGGCUCGCAAUGAAACUCAAUCAUUAAGUUGGGAGGGGUUUGAACUCGUGACCUUUGAACUCUCUGCUACUACUAUUACUACAACCAUGAUGAUGAUGGCAUUGCUGCACUCUUGUCUUCGCGUGGCUGUGAUGAUUUGACAUAGAAGAGCGUCAAGAUCGAGUGGCGUGGCAGAUACUGCUGCAGCCCUUGAUUCAGUGUUCAUCUCUGAUUAAAAAAAAAGGUCAGAUCUGAGCCUUUUGCUUAUUGGUUCCUCUGAAAAUGAUGAAGGAAAAGAAAAGAGGGCAAUGCUAUCAAAAUAAAUAAAUAAAUAAAACCAUCCAUGGCCCGAACUUCAAUUAUGGGUGUGUGUGUGGUCUGUGAUGUGUUUGCCCAUGGCUGGAAACAGCCCCUUAGUUGCUAUGAAUCGGAAGAGUGAGAUAUCAAGUCCUUGCGCAUGCUUUAUUUUUUUUUGCAUUGUUUAAUAAUUGUUCUUGUUGUAAAAGCUGUGAAGACCACAUUCACAGUAGGAUGAUGGUAACUUUUCCCCUUGGCAAGUGAGAGGUUGAGGGGUUUAACUCCCUCUCAACAUUGGUUAAGGUGAGCGUCUUGCCAAUCUUAUUUUUAAAAAAAGUGUGAAGUUUGUUCAUGAGGAGUCCCAGGCCAGGAUCAGUUGGCGAGGCGGCUUUGGUGGUUAUUGCUGCAGCCAUUCAUUGAUUCUGCGUUCUCUUUGAUAAAAAGGUUAGAUCAAUGUUCCUUUUUCUUUGAGGAAAUUAACAUUGACUCUGAUAUUAUCCAAUUUCUUAAGAAAGCAUGAGGUUCAGUUUGUCCUGUUUUUUAUUGAUUUGUGGUCUCUCAAUUCUAUUCUUUGUCUGUUGAGGCAGUGAUGAUUCACCCUUGACUUCCUGUGUUCAAAUGGCAUGGCAACUUUGUUGUGGUAUUUAAUAAUCUCCCUAUCAUUAAAUUUGGUACAUAUCAACAUAGUCUGUGUCUCUCGCUCUUUCAGCUUAAGCUAUUGUGUUUAAAUGGGCCUAAUAUACAUUUGGCUGAACUGAGUUCUGCGGGUCUUGGCCUUUGCUAUGUAUCUGAGAAGGCAAAAUUUAGGUUGUGUUUGGAUCAUGGAAACAAGAAUUGAAAAAGAAAUUGCGGGGGGCCUGAUCAUUGCAGCGGUCAUAAUGUUAUGAAAGGGUGGCUCUGAGCCUUGGUUUUCUUCUUCAUAGUAUAUUGAAGUGUGGCAAAUAAGUGAUGUGUUUGGAUUAGUGGAAAGUAGGCAAAAUAAUGAAGAGUGUUAUUUUAUAAAUCUCCAUGAAAUCUUCAGUUGUGCCAGUAUUCUGACCUUUAAUAAUUGCAUAUAUCUUUAUUUAUCUUAUCCUCUGUUAGGUGACUUUUCUAGGAAGAAAAUUGUAUUAUUAAAUUAGUGAGAGUUUAGAGAAAAGGCUAAAUUAAAUUUUCGCUUCCACGGUGCUCUGUCAUUAGUGAAAUGGCUAGAUAAACCUAGCUUAGACAUCGUUUUGUAAAUUUUCUGCUAAACACAUUUUUUAAGUUCUUCCAUUUCUUGUUUAUAACUCUUUAACUUCGAGAGCUUCCAUUUUUCUUUUAAUGGCAUCUACCUGAUUUGUAAGGACAUGUCUGUACCAUCUUAAUCAGUUUUUUCUUAACUUAUUAGUAAUAGGUGUCACUCUCAUUUUAUUUUGGAUAAAUUCUAGAUUAUUAAUCGAUUCUUCCUACUUACACAUGACGUCCAUCUGAAUAUUCUCAUUUCAGUCAUUCCCAUUCUUUUUGUAUGUUAUUUUUUAACCACCCAAAAUUUAGGCCCCUAGAUCAUACUUGGCCUAACAACUAUUCUAUAUAACUCUCAAUCUAAGAGGUAUUCUAUGGCCACGUAAAAUUUUAGAAGCUCUUCUUGAUUUUAGCCAACUUGCCUUGAUACUAUUUGUGGCAUCGUCUAUAAGUUCCCUUUUAUCUUAGAUUAGGGAGCAUAGGCAUUGAAAAUUUUUACCUCUACCUAUCUGGGGGUCAUCCUUUUGGUUUAGAAAAAUUAGAUAAUAUUAAGUCUGAUUUCAGCUCUCGGGUUACACACACGUCUUUGGAAACAUGAAAUUACACAAUAACCUCAUAAGAAUUUGUGCCUCUGGUAAAAAAAUCAUGUGCAUUGUGUUGGAGAGUACAAUAACUGGUUGUGAUGGUGUGACCUCAAAUAGUGUUGGGUUUAAAUGGCGGGGCAGCUAAGGUGUGGGGUGAUUCUCCAUGCCUCUUCUGCAGCCAUCCCUGAUACUUGUUUCGGCAUUAUGUUUGAUUCAAGGCCAGAUCUGAGCUUUAUGUUUGAAGCUGUUGAAGUUGCUGCUGCUGCUGCCUGCCAGUCUACUUUGCUGAUUGUGACCUCAAUUUGGCGUAAGACCACACAAACACAAUGGUCCUGACUGAAAACCAUGUCUGAUUAUCUUCUUACAAGGGCUGGGUAAACAAGGAAGACUGGCUGGAUUUUGCUGGCUAUCAUCUGCAGCCAUUAUCUUCUUUUUCGAAGCGUAAAUGAAGUGCUAUGCGGUCACAUCGGUGGUGGUGGUGGUGGUGAUGAGGCUUAGUUCUCUUGCUAUGGCAAUAUUAUUUGCCAUGUCUUAGCGAGGCUGUGAUGAUUCGCCCAAUUGGCCUUACAAGAGUCUCAAGAUCAAGUGGCUUGGCAGCUAUUGCUGUAGCCCUUGAUUUAGUGUUUGUCUCUGAUAGAAAGGGUUACAUCUGAGCCUCUUGUUUCUUGUUUUUCUUUUGAACACAAUGAAGGUUGACAACAAUAACAAGAACAACAAAAAGAAAAAGCAGCCACAGCAGCAGCAGCAGCAGCAACUACAACAACAACAAUGUUGUUGGUCAUGUCUCAGCGAGGCUGUGAUGAUUUGCCCAAUUGGCCUUACAAGAGUCUCAAGAUCAAGUGGCCUGGCAGCUACUGCUGUAGCCCUUGAUUUAGUGUUUGUCUCUGAUAGAAAGGGUUACAUCUGAGCCUCUUGUUUCUUGUUUCUUUUGAACACAAUGAUGGUUGAGAACAAGAACAACACAAAGCAAAAGCAGCAGCAGCAGCAACAACAACAACAAUAAUAAUAAUCCAAAUGUCCAUUGCAGCAAGUCAGGAAUUGGAUUUGAGGUCAAAAGGGGGUUUAGUUGCCUGCAAGCCCUAUAAAGUUUCCCUAGUUUAUGACUUUAUUUUCCUGAGGUAGUGAUGAUUUGUCCUCAAGUUUCAGGAUUAAAAUGGCGUGGCAGACCCAGUGUGACCUGCAAAUCUCUCGGCCACCACUGCAGCCAUCUUUGAUUCUGGUUUGUGCAUUGUGUUUGAUAAAAAGGACUGGAUCUGAACCUCUCUCUAGUCCUUCUCAGAAGAAACUGAUGGCAAUCAAAGCUAAGGUGGGCAUUGAUUGAGUGCCUCCCACUUAAGGGAUGUUAAGGGGCAUGUAGGUACAUAAGUGCACCAGUUAGUGUGGCUUGAAGAUCUCUCAGGGAAUAAAUCCCUUUGUCAUGUAACCUCUCCGAGGAGAAACUACUGUUCCACCCAGAGGGGAGCCACGGUGUAUUUUGCAAGAUGAGAGACCUUAAAUGCAAGGCAUGUGAGAACAGUUGGGUUACAGCUGCGUUCUCAUCUGAAUCUAUUCUUUCUUAAAUUAUCCGUAUAGGUUGGAUUACUUAUGAGUAGAAAUUAUGCAUAUUGUGGAUGAUGAGAUUACAUUGGAAGCUGUGAUGAUUUGACCUCAGAGCCUGUGGAUUAAAUGACGGGGCAGCUUAAGUCAGGGAUUUUUCUCCAGUGACAUCUGCAGCCAUUCCUCAUGCUUGUCUUUGUGUAUCUGAUUAAAGGCCGACCAGGAGGAUCCGUGGCUUAGCACAGGUUUUGGCUGUUGUUUCAACACAUGAGAACAUUCAGUCAAAGCCUAAAGAAAUUCUCAAGUUUGAGGAACUCACAGCUGUUUAGCUUACCUGGCAGAUGAAGUAUUAUUUUAAUAUUUUAUCAUAGUGACCAUGUGAGAUUGUGUGCUUGAACAAGUGAUUGGUCAAUGAUGUGCAAAUGGCAGCUGUGCUACAGACACCCGCCCAUGUCUGAAGAACUUUACCUUGGUUUUGGAUCCAGAUUUUCCUGUAGUAUUUUUCUGUAGUUUGUUAUGGAGAUCUCUUUCUCUCAAGUACGACCAUUGAUUUCGGUUGAUGAAUGCUGUUUUGUCUCUUGAGUGUGUUUUUGUUGUCGAAAUGAAGCAUUAACAUGUAAUAAUUUAUAUGCUCAGUUAUAUGUAUAUGAAUUAUAAAUUUUGUUCACAGCUGGAAAAGGGUAAGCUCUUGUCAUAUGAAGAGGGUGCUGUGAAUUUUUUUUUUGAAAAAAGCGCUUAAAAUUAAGCAGUUGAAUUCCUUUUCCCGAGUAUCCUCAAAAUAAUACUAAAAAGCUUAAAUGAUUUGGUUAAGUCCAAUGCGAACUAAACAUUUAUUACUUACCUCACAAUAUAUUGACUCAUUUAUUACUCAUGCACACCCAGCAUCUUCCAGGGAGAUUAUAUGUAUAUAUAUAUA